rnacentral:rRNA from 1 species
GCCUACGGGACGCAGCAGUGGGGAAUAUUGGGCAAUGGGCGCAAGCCUGACCCAGCAACGCCGUGUGAAGGAAGAAGGCUUUCGGGUUGUAAACUUCUUUUCUCAGGGACGAAGAAAGUGACGGUACCUGAGGAAUAAGCCACGGCUAACUACGUGCCAGCAGCCGCGGUAAUACGUAGGUGGCAAGCGUUAUCCGGAUUUACUGGGUGUAAAGGGCGUGUAGGCGGGGAAGCAAGUCAGAUGUGAAAACCACGGGCUCAACCUGUGGCCUGCAUUUGAAACUGUUUUUCUUGAGUAGUGGAGAG